GGCCUGCUGCGGGGAGAUCAGGUGGACGUGGCUGUCCAUGCCGCCGUAGGUGACGAUGAGGCCCUCGCCUGAGAUGAUCUCGGUGCCCGCGCCGAUGAUGAUGUCGACGCCGGGCAUGGUGUCGGGGUUGCCGGCCUUGCCGAUGCCGGCGAUGAUGCCGUUCUUGAUGCCGAUGUCGGCCUUGUAGAUGCCGGUGGCGUCGAGGAUCACGGCAUUGGUGAUCACCGUGUCCAUGCUCGCGUCGCAGUCGGCCUGGCUCUGGCCCAUGCCGUCCCU
rnacentral:sRNA from 1 species